rnacentral:snRNA from 1 species
GUGCUCGCUCUGGCAGCACAUAUACUAAAAUUGGAACACUACAGAGAAGAUUGGCAGCCCCUGAGCCAGGAUGACAUGCAAAUUCAUGAAGUGGUCCGUAUUUUU